CUGCUUUGGAUUCUCUAUGUACUAGCAGCGGAAAAAAAAGACAUGCAUUCGAUACUUGAAAGGUCUUCAAUAUAGUCUGUAUUGAUGUUAAAUUUACAUACGUUUAGGAGGAAAUUGCCCCUUUGUGGCAAAAAUUACUUGCGUUUCCGAGAAAUGUUCAGUCUCGUUCCAGCAAAACGACUCGGAUGAACUUGUCACUCGUGAAAAUUAUGGGCUUCUCGAAGGAAAAUGCUGCCUCCAUAUGAAGGAUAUGGGUGCAUAGUUGGUAAUUGUGCUUCCCUGAUAAUGUCACAUUAGACAAUAGAAUAAAUGUUAAGUACUUAAUAUAGUUAUACAAAAAGGAGUAAGAGAAGAAUGGGGAAGAAACUCGUUCGGUAAUUUCACUGUGUGUGAUAGAAGUAAAGGAGGUUGAGCUCCCAAAACACCUCUGAAGGGGUAAAUGCAGAAUUCGAUGGGUAAUCGUGCAAAACCGUCACAUAUGCAAGUGAGAUGGCAGAGUAAUAAGAAAGAUCGGUCAGUACAGUGACCGGCUACGGAGUUUGAUUUCCGGCACAGAGCGGGUAUGGCGGUCGGAGGGUGAAACUAAACACUUAUAUUAUGGUGCUGAAAAAGCUCUCUUGCCGUCUGACGAACCUCCCCAGAAGAAAAUGCCAUAUGACAUUAUGGAAUGGAAAUAAGCAAAGUAAAGUAGUUUUAAAGUAUCCAUUUUCAACAUUACUGUGUCCUCAUGGCAAAUCAUGCUGAACAAAGUUUGGGGAUAAUAUAUUCAAUGUUUUUUUUCCCAAUGUCAGCAGAGAAUUCUGAAAGCAGUCGCUAUCAGGAUGAUACUAAUAUCACCAGCAAAAGUAUUAGCUUAGAUGAAGAAUUUGUGGUUGGAGGAAUAUAAUUGAUAUUUACUAUUCUGUUUGAGAACAAUGACAUCGGAAAGUAGGCAUGUGAAAAUGUGUAUUUGUUGCAGUUGAAAACCUAACCUAUAAAUAUUACACGCCAUAUUUUUGUGCAUGUCAAAAGGUGCGAAGAUGAAAAUGAAGCAUAACUCAAACUCCAGUGUAAGACUAAUCUUGAGACUUGCAGAGUGAGGAAGUGAGGUGAAGGAGAAAAGAUAACUUCUGCCUUUAACGCUAAGGACUUACUGCAUUCCUUGCAAGUCUCAAGAUUACAGUCGCGCACUAUAGUUCUGUCAACCUUCAGGUAGUGAAAAUAAAAACUGUAAAAAGUCACAUGCAAAACCAGA